GUAAAUGCAGUGACAGGGAGGAGUACAUAUAUAACCGGAUCCCAGAGAGAAGAUGGUGGUGUAAAUCUUUAUCCAGGAUGUGUGGAAGUAGCCCUCGAGCAGUGAACUGAACGGUAUUUGUACCAAGUAGGCUUCAACGGUAUUCCCCGUUACAGGAAAACAGUAUAUUUUAGAGUUUACUAUUGUACUGUAUGAGAGCAGGUUUUCCUGAAGUUAGGUGGUACCGCGGAAUUUUCGUCCUAAGC
rnacentral:ncRNA from 1 species